rnacentral:lncRNA from 1 species
GGCAGCGCUCCGGGCCCCGCCACGUGCGCGAAGUGCCGGCGGGGCGUCCUCCGGAGGGGGAGCGGCUCCGUGAAGGGCGGCGAUCCCGUGGGCUGGGGAGGAACGCGCGGGGAAACGCCGCGUCCGUCUUCGGGCAGCAGCGAGCGGAGCGGGAACGGAGCGCUCCGGUGUCGCCGCUCGGCCCCUUUCCGGCAACGGCCCCGAGCUGGGAGCCAGAGUCCUGAAAGCCCAGCAGCACAGCAGCAGCCCUUGGCUUGUGGUUCCUCAGGGCAGCGGUACAGGUAUGGCACACAGCCUGCCCCAAGGUUCAGCAGUUCUCCACCCUCGGUCACGUUGAAGUCAAUGGGUGUUUCUGCUUUGACCCACGUUUUUUUCUUCCUGUUGCAACCUUGUGACUUUUCCCAGAAGCAUACACAGAUGUGUGUGUGUGUGUGACUGCCUCCUCACUCUGAGCAUGCAGUUGAGAUGCAGCCUUCGCUCUGGUGGUUCUUCAUACUCUUCCUAAGGUCUAUAUGGAAAAAUGCCUUGGAAUUGCCAGAGGCAGCAGUAGGACUGGCAGAACUCUGUUACUACUCGCAGGCAAACACAUGGCGCUUCCUGCUUAGAGACAGCCAGCUGCGAGGACUGAAGAUGAAAGUAACCUGAGCCCUCUUCCUGCUGAAAUGGAGCUCCUGUGCUCAUUUCUCUGUGUCCAACUUAGUUUUAAAUAGACCGAGCAGUGGAGCUUCUGCUGCUUCACUCCAGAGAGAUAAUUUCAUGUAUCUCUUUCUGAUACUUCAUGUUUUCCUUUUCUGCCUUUAUCCUUGAAUGCUAAUUCCAGCCUGGUCUGUUCUGCUAAUUGGAUCCUUACUCUUUAUAGCAUUUAAACCCUCUUUGGUCCUCCAGGUCAUCACUUUGCCAUGAGUGAAUGACCAGGGGGCUGGAUGUGCGCUGACGCCUUCUGGAUCCAGAGCUUCCAGAUUCUAUCAGGGAAUAACAAGGGAUAGCUGGUGGCAAAUUGCAGGCGGAGAGCACAGGUUUGUGUGGCCAUUGCCCUUCCAGCAACAUCCCUGUGCGAGAGCCCGGUGAGGGAUUGCUGUGAUCUGGCCGCGGUCCCUGGGGCACAGGGCAGGGAGCGGUGGGUGCCCGUGAGCCCGGAGAAGGGAAACGGGGCUGGAAGCAGUCUGGUGAAAUCCGUGCAGAGUGCAGCGUGAUGCUGAAGCAUGGCAGCUCGUGGGCAGCCCGGGGGCAGGAGCACCAGCGGGGGCUCGCGUUUGGCAGCAACAGCGACUGCUGCUCCAAUCUGCAGUGCCACAGACUCCCCCAAGAUAUUAUUCUUUACUUAUUUCCAUGGUAUCUGAGCGCUGCAGCGAUUAUAUAAAUAGACACUUUCUGGAGGAACUCUCCUCUCUGCUAGGCUACAUUUUCUGAAUUGCAGUCGCAAGCCUUUUUGUUUUGCAGCGGAAUGAUGGGCUACACUGAGAUGCCGAGGGCUUGUAGUCGGGUUUGGUUAUGCUGAUCAGCCCGUUCCUGAUGAAAAAUGAAGGCCACGUUGAUAGCAUCACCUCUGCCCUGGUGCAGAGAACAGCCGAUGGGACGUGCGUGGGGCCAGGCUUAGCUCCCACCCGCAGGAGCAGCCCACACAGCCCCUUUGUGGUGAUACACGUGUGUAAGUGCCGGGUGCUCGGUGCCCAGGUGGGCGGCAGGGUGCUGUGCUCCCCUCUCUUUCCUGGGACGUUCUGCCUGUACUGGGUGAACGCUGAGCUGCAUCUGACUGCUAAGGGACGCUUAGAGCUUGGGAGUCGCCAUUUGUACGCAGCCUUCACUCUUGGUUUUGUUCCAGUGCUUACGUGAAAAGGCACUUGUCAGAAUUGCCCAGGAAAUGGAAAUCACAGGACGUUCAUACUGCAGAUAUAACAUUAUUUUUGUUUUCCCUUUGGUGAAAUGUAAAGUAACAGCCCCGGGGUAGUGCUGUGGAUGAUGGCCUCUCAGCUGUUAGCGGUGACGUUUCCUCAUAGGUGUAGAGCUGAAGGGAGCCGUGGAAGUGACCGGCAUGGUGCCAGCCGUGUGCCUGGGCUGUGCAGAGCCCGGCACACCCUGCUGAUCUCUUGUGGAUCGGCCGUGGAGGGAUGGAUGGCAAGUCUGUGCCUUCCCAAGGAGCAAGCAGGCUUGCAGGAAAUUCCAUGCGUGGUACUGCUGCAAUGUUGCUUGCCAAGAAACUUUGGAAUCCUUCCUUCAUGUUGUUUGAAAAUUCACGGAGAAUAAAUUGCUUCUGG